CUCGUGAAUUCAUCUCCGGGGGUAGAGCACUGUUUCGGCUAGGGGGCCAUCCCGGCUUACCAACCCGAUGCAAACUGCGAAUACCGGAGAAUGUUAUCACGGGAGACACACGGCGGGUGCUAACGUCCGUCGUGAAGAGGGAAACAACCCAGACCGCCAGCUAAGGUCCCAAAGUCAUGGUUAAGUGGGAAACGAUGUGGGAAGGCCCAGACAGCCAGGAUGUUGGCUUAGAAGCAGCCAUCAUUUAAAGAAAGCGUAAUAGCUCACUGGUCGAGUCGGCCUGCGCGGAAGAUGUAACGGGGCUAAACCAUGCACCGAAGCUGCGGCAGCGAACGUAUCACCCAAGACAACUUUACGGAGUUGACGAUUGACGGAGCGAAGCGACGUCAAAGCGUUCAUUAAAGUCGAGUUGGCUUAGGGAUACGUUCGUUGGGUAGGGGAGCGUUCUGUAAGCCUGUGAAGGUGUGUCGUGAGGCAUGCUGGAGGUAUCAGAAGUGCGAAUGCUGACAUAAGUAACGAUAAAGCGGGUGAAAAGCCCGCUCGCCGGAAGACCAAGGGUUCCUGUCCAACGUUAAUCGGGGCAGGGUGAGUCGACCCCUAAGGCGAGGCCGAAAGGCGUAGUCGAUGGGAAACGGGUUAAUAUUCCCGUACUUGGUGUUACUGCGAAGGGGGGACGGAGAAGGCUAUGUUGGCCGGGCGACGGUUGUCCCGGUUUAAGCGUGUAGGUGUGUGUUCCAGGUAAAUCCGGUU
rnacentral:rRNA from 2 species